rnacentral:rRNA from 1 species
UACGGGGGGGGCAAGCGUUGUUCGGAAUUACUGGGCGUAAAGGGCGCGUAGGCGGUGCUCUAAGUUAGAUGUGAAAACUCUGGGCUCAACCCAGAGCCUGCAUCUAAAACUGGAGUGCUAGAGUUCUGGAGGGGGUAGCGGAAUUCCUGGUGUAGCGGUGAAAUGCGCAGAUAUCAGGAGGAACACCGAUGGCGAAGGCAGGUCUCUGGGCCACUACUGACGCUGAGAAGCGAAAGCAUGGGGAGCGAACAGG